rnacentral:rRNA from 1 species
GUGCCAGCAGCCGCGGUAAUACAGAGACUGCAAGCGUUGUUCGGAUUCAUUGGGCGUAAAGGGUGCGCAGGCGGUUCGUUAAGUCGGAUGUGAAAUCUCACAGCCUAACUGUGAUAGGUCAUUCGAAACUGGCGGACUCGAGGGCUGGAGAGGAGACUGGAAUAGUCGGUGUAGCGGUGAAAUGCGUAGAGAUCGACUAGAACACCGGUGGCGAAGGCGAGUCUCUGGACAGUUCCUGACGCUCAGGCACGAAAGCCAGGGGAGCAAACGGGAUUAGAUACCCCUGUAGUCC